GACGAACGCUGGCGGCGUGCUUAACACAUGCAAGUCGAACGGAAAGGCCCUGCUUUUGUGGGGUGCUCGAGUGGCGAACGGGUGAGUAACACGUGAGUAACCUGCCCUUGACUUUGGAAUAACUUCAGGAAACUGGGGCUAAUACCGGAUAGGAGCUCCUGCUGCAUGGUGGGGGUUGGAAAGUUUCGGCGGUUGGGGAUGGACUCGCGGCUUAUCAGCUUGUUGGUGGGGUAGUGGCUUACCAAGGCUUUGACGGGUAGCCGGCCUGAGAGGGUGACCGGCCACAUUGGGACUGAGAUACGGCCCAGACUCCUACGGGAGGCAGCAGUGGGGAAUAUUGCACAAUGGGCGGAAGCCUGAUGCAGCAACGCCGCGUGCGGGAUGACGGCCUUCGGGUUGAAAACCGCUUUCGCCUGUGACGAAGCGUGAGUGACGGUAAUGGGUAAAGAAGCACCGGCUAACUACGUG
rnacentral:rRNA from 1 species